rnacentral:tRNA from 1 species
AGUAGGAUAAGCUAAUUUAGGCUACUGGGCCCAUACCCCAAAAAUGAAGGUUAAAAUCCUUCUCUUACUA